rnacentral:lncRNA from 1 species
AUCACCAUGGUGAUUUACAAGCAACUCACUAUGCUUUAGUGUCAGACUAUUUGAAUUUUUAAUUUAGUGAUGAAAGAUUUUUGAACACAGUUAAGUACUUACGAAGUUGGUAUGUGAGUCAAGAUGAAAUUGAUCCCUCCGAAUAAGUAAGAGUUAAUGCAUCACUGUAUUUUAAUUCAAUAAAAUUUUAUCAGGAUAAUCCAUAUGAUGGAUUUGAAAAAGUG